rnacentral:ncRNA from 1 species
UUUGCUCAACAAAAAAAAAUAUGAGAACAAUAACAAACAAUACUUGGUGGUGGAAUUCUUUACGUCAAACGUCGUGAACAAAGCUCCUAUAGUAUUAUUUGAACUAUUAUAAAUAAAAGGCUUGUC